UGGAGCUCCAGUGCCCUGGGAGGGGAGAGGAGAAGCCUGACCUUGAGCACAGCUCCAGCCUCCACUCCCCACCCCUAUCGCAGGCUCUGGGCUGUGGUUUCAUUUUCCCCAGUUCUCUAACUUCUCAGGAAGCCCAGAGUUUCUCCCUAAAGAAAGGUGGCCCUGCACUCUUUCCUCUCCUCCAAAAUUAGGCUUCAGUAGUUGUCCUCUAAGUUGAUAUUUAGACCUUAAAAUCUAGACUUCUUGGAUCAACAAGAAAUACGCAGGAAGUUCCACAUGAUCUCGUGUGAUAGCACGUAACUUAGUGCUACAGGUGACAGUUUUAUUUUUGGAGGAGUCUUAUUUUACAUAGGGAAAUAGAAAACUAAGUGGCUUCCCUUGAGGCAGCCCGAGGGCUCCACUGGACCCAGAACUCUGAGUUCUGAUGCUGCCUAUCAUUUGCUUUUCCUCAUGAGCUCCUGGACCACCUCAUAUCACCAGCACCCUCUACCCAAGGUCCUGGAGCCAACACUGGAGUAAAAGAGCACAAGAGAACUCCUUAGAGGUGGAAGGAUACCCUCUGAGGUCAAAUCAUUGGGCUUGUGGCCAUGAGACCACAGACUUUGCCUGGCUUCCAGUGACUGUCCGAGAUGACCUGUGGAGUGCACCGCCUGUACUUGGACAUCACUGUCUUUUCGGAUCCAUACCCGUCAUCCUUGGAAUUUCCCCUGCAUCCAAACCUGUUCCUGAUACAGGUGUGAGUAAUGAAUAACCCUAAGGAAUAUCUUGGAUGUCUUCACGGGGCUUAUGACUUAUUCUGAGGUUUACAAAAUAGAGGCCCCCAGCUGAGCAAAGAGAGGGCUGCAGCGCCGAGGGAACAGCUGCCGGACUCACCGGAGAGGCCUCCUGGAGCACGCCGGGACCCCCUCCACCCCCUGGCUUUGGCUGCAUCAAUGGCUAGUUUGCCUGAACUAUAUCUGAGCCACUGAGAGUAUUUAUUAAGCAGAGAAUAAUUUUGAGUUUCACUUUUAUAACUUUUGUUUCAAAAGUUGUUUUGGAUAAUUUAAUGAAAUGACUGUAAACCAGAAUUCCCCUUUUCAUUAUUUCUUUGUGUCAAUAUAAAAAGAGUUGAUGAUUUUAAAAGCCAGUGAGAUGUCCCUGUCUGUGGAUGUCAGCGGGAGGGUGGGGUCUGACGCCUUUCUCUGGUGGCUGUCCAGGAAGAUUGCCCCAGCUUGCACUCCCUUUUGGCGGGUUCCAGAGCCUUCCAUUUGAAAGGAGCAUCUCUCACCACUCUGCCCCACCCAGCACCAGCUCUUCUGGAACCCACUGACUUCCUAAACACUUUCUUCCUCCUUCACCUCAUUGAAUUCAAGACUUUAGAAAACAGCCAAAAACUCUAGAGGUGGGGGUGGGUUCGAUCUGGAAAUCCCUGCUGUAAUCUUUUUAAGGGAAUCCACUGGAAAUUAUUAAUUUAUGUUUUAAAUAAAACCAUUCCUUACUUAACAGAAUAUUAAGCCACUCAUUUUUUUAACAGAACUUUCGAGAUAUAAUUAAAAUGCCAUAAAUUUCACCCCCACACAGUGUACAAUUCCAAGGUUUCCAAUAUAGUCACAGAAGUCUCUGCAACAAUUACCACAAUUUUAGACAUGAAGACCAUUUGUUGGCAGCCCUACCUGCCUCUAUGUGUAUGUAUAUAAUUUUAAUAUUGGAUUGGAUACUAUAGUAAUAUUGUACUGUUACCUAUUUGUGUUUUUAUAUUGCUGUUUUAUUUUAUUCAGAUGAAUAAUAAUUAUCUCCAUAUAGUCAUACAUUUAUAUAGGGUUAAACACACCUUUUUACAAUUCAAUAAAUUAAAUUGGUCAGGUAUGGUGGCUCACGCCUGUAAUCCCAGCACUUUGGGAGGCCAAGGCGGGUGGAUCACCUGAGGUUGGGAGUUUGAGACCAGCGUGAUCAACAUGGAGAAACCCUGUCUGUACUAAAAAUACAAAAAAUUAGCCAGGCAUGGUGGCACAUGCCUGUAAUCCCAGCUACUUGGGAGGCUGAGGCAGGAGAAUCACUCGAACCAAGGAGGCGGACAUUGCGGUGAGCCAGGAUCGCACCAUUGCACUCCAGCCUGGGCAACAAGAGCAAAACUCCAUCUCAAGAAGAAAAAAAAAAAAAAAGUAAAUUGUUUUUAAUUACAUAAGAAACACGUGUUAUUGUUAUAGAAAUUCACAUAGUGCUUCGGUCUAUAGAAUAAAUGUAUCCCCACCACCUCCCAGCCCACCCACUCGUCUGCAUUCACCUACACACAGUUAAACAUGCACAUAUGUUUCCGUGACACGAUCUUGCUUUGCAUAUUGUUCACUGACUGGCUUUUCCAUAUAAGAUUUAAUUUGGUGAUUAUUGCUUAUCAGUACCUAUAGGUCUCUCUCAUUAUUAUUUAUAAUUACAUCAUUAUUCCAUAGGGUAUUUUACCACAAUUUGGUCACUUUUUCACUGAGGAAUUUUUAUGUCAGUUUCAGUUAUUUGUUAUUGUUACCAAUGCUGUACUGGGCAUCCCUGUAUAUCCACCUUUUUGUUGCAUUAGUUAAGUGGUUUUUUCCUUUUAUGAUUGAUUUCUAAAAAUAAAAUACUGCAGCAAAUGUUAAUGUUUAAUAUUUUCAUAAAAUUAAAAAUCUGUGUUCCAAAAAGAAAUCAAUGGUUUAUACUUCUACCAUCAAUGUAUGAGAAUUCCUAUUUCCCCACACCCUUAAUUACAUAGGAAAUUAUCAAUGUUUGCCAAUUUUAUGAUUUUAAAAUAUUUUUACUUUUAAUUUGGAUUUCUCCACUUAUUAGGGAGAUUGUGCAUAUUUGUGUAUGUGUGUUGGCCGUUUGUAUUUCUCCCUGUGAUUUUCAUAAUGAUACGUUUUCCUAGUUUUCUAAUUCAUUUAGUGAUAUUCUUUAUAUGUUCUGCACAUUUAUUAUUUCCAUAUAAUUACUGAGUUUUUUUUAAGGUCUGUGUCAUAACUUUUACUUUGUUUAUAUUGUUUUUGUUUUGAAGAAGGUUUUCUUUUUACAUAGUCAAAUUUUCAAUAUUUUCCUUACCAUUUCUGGAUUUUGUGACAGGCUUUCAAUAGUUGGUCCUUCUAGGGCUUUAUUGAUUUGUUUUGUUUUAAAGAACAUGCUCAAAUCCUACAUUAUAUAGUGAUUUACUUGUUCCCUUUAUAACACGUGGUAGACAUUACUAGUUCCAAUUAAUGUAGAUUAAAUGUAUUCUUUUCAGUUGUGUAGUAAUUCAUAGAUACGUUCUGAUUUCUUUAUUCUCUGUUAGAUGGAUAUUAAGCUUAUUUUUUAAAAUUCCCACCACUAAUGACUUUCCAGUAAUCAUCAAUAUACAUAGAUCCCCCCAAUGUUUUUGUUUUUUUGUUUUUAUGUAGUAUACGAAUCUCAAAAUGGUAUAAUUGAGCUACGAUAAAUUUAAUUAUAAUUUAAAAAAUACUGACAUUAUUUUUCACAGAGUUAAUCAGAUCACACUCUUACCAAUUACAUAAGUAGGCCUCUUCCUAUGUAGGCUCAAUAG
rnacentral:lncRNA from 1 species